AUAAAAUAUCAGUGCGACACCACACCGAUGUAGAUAAAAACCGUGUAAAACUCACGAGCUUUCAUUCAGCUUCAGUGCGCUUUUGAGUUACUACGAUGACUAAACUAAGCCUAAUGGUGUUGUCUUUGACAAUAGUGUUGUUUUUAGCAACUAUGUCAGGGGUAUGGUGUGAUCAUCGCGUCAGUGGACCAGGACAGUCCAAGGGCACCUUUGAAGACCACUCCAACUUCCUAGAGGACGGCUACGAGAGGCGCAAACGAUCAAUACAACCCCAAAAGAAGAAAAAUUCUUUUCACUGAUUAUCAAUUUUAAUGGUAUACUAAUAAAUAUGUUCGCAAUUUUA